CCUACGGGCGACAGCAGUGAGGAAUAUUGGUCAAUGGGCGCGAGCCUGAACCAGCCAAGUAGCGUGAAGGAUGACUGCCCUACGGGUUGUAAACUUCUUUUAUAAAGGAAUAAAGUGAGGCACGUGUGCCUUUUUGUAUGUACUUUAUGAAUAAGGAUCGGCUAACUCCGUGCCAGCCGCCGCGGUAAUACGGAGGAUCCGAGCGUUAUCCGGAUUUAUUGGGUUUAAAGGGAGCGUAGAUGGGUUGUUAAGUCAGUUGUGAAAGUUUGCGGCUCAACCUUAAAAUUGCAAUUGAUACUGGCAGCCUUGAGUACAGUAGAGGUAGGCGGAAUUCGUGGUGUAGCGGUGAAAUGCGUAGAUAUCACGAAGAACACCGAUUGCGAAGGCAGCCUACUAAACUGCCACUGACAUUGAUGCUCGAAAGUGUGGGUAUCAAACAGGAUUAGAUACCCUUGUAGUC
rnacentral:rRNA from 1 species